rnacentral:tRNA from 1 species
GGCCCAAUGGUCUAGUAGUAUGAUAUUCCCUUCGGGUGUUCUUCACUCGCUCUGUUCUCAGAGUCCAAUGGGAGUGGUCGGGAGUUCAAUUCUCUCUUGGGCCC